rnacentral:tRNA from 1 species
AUAUAGCUCACUGGUAGAGUAUGUGCUUUGCAAAUAUGAGGCCCUGAGUUCAAUUCCCAGUAU